AUGUUGGCCCGGAGGAAGCUGGUGCUGCCGGUGCUGCCGGCGCUCACCAUCAACCCUACCAUCGCCGAGGGCCCGUCCCCAGCCAGCGAGGGCGCCUGUGAGGCAAACCUGGUGGACCUGCAGAAGAAGCUGGAGGAGCUGGAACUUGACAAGCAGCAGAAGGGGCCUGAAGCCUUUCUCACCCAGAAAGCCAAGGUCGGCGAACUCAAAGACGAUGACUUCGAAAGGAUCUCAGAGCUGGGCGCGGGCAAUGGCGGGGUGGUCACCAAAGUCCAGCACAGACCCUCGGGCCUCAUCACGGCCAGGAAGUUGAUCUGCCUUGAGAUCAAGCCGGCCAUCCGGAACCAGAUCAUCCGCGAGCAACAGGUCCUGCACGAGGGCAACUCGCCGUACAUCGUGGGCUUCUACGGGGCCUUCUGCAGUGACGGGGAGAUCAGCAUCUGCAUGGAGCACAUGGAUGGCGGCUCCCUGGACCAGGUGCUGAAAGAGGCCAAGAGGAUUCCCGAGCAGAUCCUGGGGAAAGUCAGCAUUGCGGUUCUCCGGGGCUUGGCGUACCUCCGAGAGAAGCACCAGAUCAUGCACCGAGAUGUGAAGCCCUCCAACAUCCUCGUGAACUCUAGAGGGUAGAUCAAGCUGUGUGACUUCGGGGUGAGCGGCCAGCUCAUCGACUCCAUGGCCAACUCCUUCGUGGGCACGCGCUCCUACAUGGCUCCGGAGCGGUUGCAGGGCACACAUUACUUGGUGCAGUCGGACAUCGGGAGCAUGGGCCUGUCCCUGGUGGAGCUGGCCAUCAGAAGGUACCCCAUCCCCCCGCCCGACGCCAAGGAGCUGGAGGCCAUCUUUGGCCCGCCAGUGGUCGACAGGGAAGAAGUAGAGCCUCACAGCAUCUCGCCUCGGCCAAGGCCCCCAGGGCGCCCCAUCAGCGGUCACGGGGUGGACAGCCGGCCCGCCAUGGCCAUCUUUGAACUGCUGGACUAUAUUGUGAACGAGCCGCCUCCUAAGCUGCCCAACGGUGUGUUCACCCCCGACUUCCAGGAGUUUGUCAAUAAAUGCCUCAUCAAGAACCCAGCGGAGCGGGCAGACCUGAAGAUGCUCACAAACCACGCCUUCAUCAAGCGGUCCGAGGUGGAGGAAGUGGAUUUUGCCUGCUGAUUGUGUAAAACCCUGCAGCUGAACCAGCCCGGCACACCCACGCGCACCGCCAUGUAA